rnacentral:rRNA from 1 species
GGCUACAGCCAUAUCACCCUGCAGCCCAAGACUGGUCACCCGCUGAAGCUAAGCAGGGUAGAGCUGGUCAGUACCUGGAUGGGAGACCUCCUGGGAAAACUAGAUUGCUGCUGGAA